rnacentral:rRNA from 1 species
GACGAACCGUGCGAACGUUAUUCGGAAUCACUGGGCUUAAAGCGCGUGUAGGUGGGACGGCACGUCGGUCGUUGAAAUCCCCCGGCUCAACCGGGGAAGGGCGCCGAUACGACCGUCCUGGAGGGACGUAGGGGGACCUGGAACUUCCGGUGGAGCGGUGAAAUGCGUUGAGAUCGGAAGGAACGCCCGUGGCGAAAGCGAGGUCCUGGACGUUUUCUGACACUGAGACGCGAAAGCCAGGGGAGCGAACGGG